UCACUUUGGGUCUGAUCCAAACCCCAUUGAAGUCAAAUGUAAUCCUUCCAUUGACUUCAAUGGGCUUUGGAUCAGGCCUUAUGAAA
rnacentral:pre_miRNA from 1 species